AAGACUAUACUUCAGGGAUCAUUCUAUAGUUUCUGAACUUGAGAAAUGUGUUUCUAAAGUGUUGGUCUCGCCAACCACGAUGAUGAGUUGUGAUAUUUCCUUCUGAGCGUGAAGCUGACAGGAUAAUGAUUGUUUCAUAUGUUCUCUGUCAUUGAGAUUGUUCUUUACUUCUUUUGGAGUAUAAGGAAGGAAUAGAUAGAGUGGU
rnacentral:snoRNA from 1 species